GGAUGGGAGCUUGCUCCCGGAAGUUAGCGGCGGACGGGUGAGUAACACGUGGGCAACCUACCUGUAAGACUGGGAUAACUUCGGGAAACCGGAGCUAAUACCGGAUAACUUCUUUCUUCUCCUGGAGAAAGGUUGAAAGACGGCUUCGGCUGUCACUUACAGAUGGGCCCGCGGCGCAUUAGCUAGUUGGUGAGGUAACGGCUCACCAAGGCAACGAUGCGUAGCCGACCUGAGAGGGUGAUCGGCCACACUGGGACUGAGACACGGCCCAGACUCCUACGGGAGGCAGCAGUAGGGAAUCUUCCGCAAUGGACGAAAGUCUGACGGAGCAACGCCGCGUGAGUGAUGAAGGUUUUCGGAUCGUAAAACUCUGUUAUCAGGGAAGAACAAGUAUCGGAGUAACUGCCGGUACCUUGACGGUACCUGACCAGAAAGCCACGGCUAACUACGUGCCAGCAGCCGCGGUAAUACGUAGGUGGCAAGCGUUGUCCGGAAUUAUUGGGCGUAAAGCGCGCGCAGGCGGUUUCUUAAGUCUGAUGUGAAAGCCCACGGCUCAACCGUGGAAGGUCAUUGGAAACUGGGAGACUUGAGUGCAGAAGAGAAGAGCGGAAUUCCACGUGUAGCGGUGAAAUGCGUAGAGAUGUGGAGGAACACCAGUGGCGAAGGCGGCUCUUUGGUCUGUAACUGACGCUGAGGCGCGAAAGCGUGGGGAGCGAACAGGAUUAGAUACCCUGGUAGUCCACGCCGUAAACGAUGAGUGCUAAGUGUUAGAGGGUUUCCGCCCUUUAGUGCUGCAGUUAACGCAUUAAGCACUCCGCCUGGGGAGUACGGCCGCAAGGCUGAAACUCAAAGGAAUUGACGGGGG
rnacentral:rRNA from 1 species